AACGGAAACAUGAACCCAUUUGAAACAACUUGAGACUGAAUGUGUUGCUAACGGCCAGCCUGGAUUUUCAUUCUGUUCUACCACAAUAAUAUCCAAUCUUGUUG